rfam:Ovis aries breed Texel chromosome 1, whole genome shotgun sequence.
UCCCAGGUGGCUCAGUGGGUAAAGAACCUGCCUGCAAUGCAGGAGACACCAGAGAUAUGGGUUCAAUUCCUAGGUUGGGAA